rnacentral:rRNA from 1 species
GAUGAACGCUGGCGGCGUGCUUAACACAUGCAAGUCGAACGAUGAAGCCCAGCUUGCUGGGUGGAUUAGUGGCGAACGGGUGAGUAACACGUGAGUAACCUGCCCUUAACUCUGGGAUAAGCCUGGGAAACUGGGUCUAAUACCGGAUAGGAGCGUCCACCGCAUGGUGGGUGUUGGAAAGAUUUAUCGGUUUUGGAUGGACUCGCGGCCUAUCAGCUUGUUGGUGAGGUAAUGGCUCACCAAGGCGACGACGGGUAGCCGGCCUGAGAGGGUGACCGGCCACACUGGGACUGAGACACGGACCAGACUCCUACGGGAGGCAGCGGUGGGGAAUAUUGCACAAUGGGCGCAAGCCUGAUGCAGCGACGCCGCGUGAGGGAUGACGGCCUUCGGGUUGUAAACCUCUUUCAGUAGGGAAGAAGCGAAAGUGACGGUACCUGCAGAAGAAGCACCGGCUAACUACGUG